rnacentral:misc_RNA from 1 species
AACUUUUGGCAAUGGAUCACUUGGCUCUCGCAUCGAUGAAGAACACAGCGAAAUGCGAUAAGUAAUGUGAAUUGCAGAAUCCAGUGAAUCAUCGAAUCUUUGAACGCAUCUUGCGCUCCUUGGCAUUCCGAGGAGCAUGCCUUGUUGAGUGUCCUUAAACUAUCAAACCACUUUUUCUCUCGGUGUUUUGGACUUUGGGAGCUCUGUGCUGGUCUCGGUUUGAGCCAGCUCUCCUCAAAAGCGUUAACUUUGAGACCUUCAGUGUGCUAUUUUGUAUGCACUGGCUUCAAUUUUUUAACUGCCACUUUGACCUCAAAUCAGGUAGGACUACCCGCUGAACUUAAGCAUAUCAAUAAGCGGAGGCU